AGUCUAAUAAGUUUGGAGCACGCUAGUUUCCUGUAUUCCUUGAAGUCAUAGGCAGACGGGAAAAGCAGGCCUUAAAAGAGGGCUACGUGGGGAUACUGGGGUGCUCCCAAUGAUAACAGAACGGCCAGAACUGGCUAGAGUUCUGUUCCUACAAGGUGUCUCAUCUCUGAUGGAUCCUAAGAUGAUUUUGAAAAGAGUGGUUUGACCAGAUGAGGCGGAGGUUGACGAAGAUGAAAUGGAAGACUGCCGUGUCACAGCCUACCUCAGACAAUACGUUUUUCUUUAGAGACAUUGAAAGACCUGGUGGUCUUCUGGACGGGAUGGUCUGUUGGCAGGGGCAAUGCCGACUGUACUUUGAAACUCCCCCUAGGGACAAGAAUGUAUGACACCUUCAAAGAAGCUAUGAAUGCAGCACUGAAAUAAAGCAAUUAUGGUUUUGGCUUGAUCUAGUGUUGUUUUCUGCAAGUUCAAUGCAGUAUAGUCAACAAUUUCAGUGUUUCAGACGGUGACCAGAGUUCCAGUUGUUCAAUGAAUAAACUAUGCAAUGAGAAACUG